AUGGAACAUGAGAUUUUUAAGUCUAUCAUGGACUAUCUUAGAAGAGAGAAUCUAUUGAAGGGCACGUCGUGUGUUGCUGUCGAGGAGCAGUUGACAAUGUUUAUGUACAUGAUUUCGCACAAUGCUAGUAAUCAAGAUCUACAAAAAUACUUCCAACACAGCGCAGAAACAAAUCAUAGGAAGAUAAACAAGAUUUUUGACUUAAUUCCAACUCUAGCCCAAAGAUUUAUAAAGAUUCCAAGUUCACUCCAGCCCCACCCAAAGAUCGUUUUGCAUUUUCAAGUAAAAUACCUCCUAAUUCAUUUUCAAGUAAAUACCAAGUUCACUCCAGCCCCACCCAAAUCAAGACUACAAAUAAUACCUCCUAUUUCAUUAAAAUACCUCCUAUUUCAAGUAAAAGAUAUAAUCUGGAGACUAUUUCAAGUAAACAAAUUGGGUUACUGGACAGCCUUGUGA
rnacentral:rRNA from 1 species